ACCGGACGUGGUGGCGCGCGCCUGUAGUUCCAGCUACUUGGGAGGCUGAGGCCGGAGGAUCGCUUGAGCUCAGGAGUUCUGGGCUGCAGUGCGCUAUGCCAAUCGGGUGUCCGCACUAAGUUCGGCAUCAAUAUGGUGACCUCCCGGGAGCGGGAGACCACCAGGUUGCCUAAGGAGGGGUGAACCGGCCCAGGUCGGAAACGGAGUAGGUCAAAACUCCCGUGCUGAUCAGUACUAUUGUUAUUUUUAAAGAUUAAUUUAUUAGCAAAAGAGAGAGGUGAAAGAGAACCAGGCAUCUC
rnacentral:SRP_RNA from 1 species